rnacentral:rRNA from 1 species
GAGCGAAGGAUAGUCAUGAACGCGGAGACGAAGUCAGGUCACACAGAAGAGGAGAGGGACGGCUAUCAACCCCAAUUACCUACAAGAACGAUCUAGACGAGGGAGAGGAAUAAGAAUAGGGACACCAACAAGAAUACGAAAAUAUUCCACGAAAAAACACGAAAAAAGACAAGUGUCCUAAACCCUUAGUCCCCUAAGAACCGUCUCCCUAAUCAAACGACGUAGAUAGGGGAAGAAGUCGGCUACUUCAGGGACUUCAAAAGCUACAGCAGGAACUACUUAUAACGAAAUCCUCCUACGUCUAAACGACGACAACCAAACCACCUAGCUUCCUCUUCCAUCGACGGAUGUUCUUAGCAGACCUGUUCAACAAGUCUUUGUAGUCUUCCGUUCCCCUCUAGACUCGAAAGAAAGAAGAGGGUACCA